rnacentral:rRNA from 1 species
UAGGGAAUAUUGGUAAUGGGCGAAAGCCUGAACCAGCAACGCCGCGUGUGCGAUGAAGGCCUUCGGGUUGUAAAGCACUUUUUGAGGGGAUGAGGUAGGACAGUACCCUCAGAAUAAGUCUCGGCUAACUACGUGCCAGCAGCCGCGGUAACACGUAGGAGACAAGCGUUAUUCGGAUUUACUGGGCGUAAAGCGCGUGCAGGCGGUCUGGUAAGUUGGAUGUGAAAGCUCCUGGCUCAACUGGGAGAGGUCGUUCAAUACUGUCAGACUAGAGAGUGGGAGAGGGAGGUGGAAUUCCGGGUGUAGUGGUGAAAUGCGUAGAUAUCCGGAGGAACACCGAGUGGCGAAAGCGGCCUCCUGGCCCAUUUCUGACGCUUAGACGCGAAAGCUAGGGUAGCAA